GCAAUUAGCUCAGUUUGGUUAGAGCGUCUGGUUUACACCCAGGAGGUCGCAGGUUCGAAUCCUACAUUGCCC
rnacentral:tRNA from 1 species